AUUGAACGCUGGCGGCAGGCCUAACACAUGCAAGUCGAACGCGUGGCGGCCGGGUGAGUAAUGUCUGGGAAACUGCCCGCUGGAGGGGGAUAACUACUGGAAACGGUAGCUAAUACCGCAUACCAUCGGAUGUGCCCAGAUGGGAUUAGCUAGUAGGUGGGGUAACGGCUCACCUAGGCGACGAUCACUAGCUGGUCUGCGAGGAUGACCGGUCAAACUGGUACUGAGGCACGGUCCGAAGUCCCACGGGAGGCAGCGGUGGGGAAUAUUGCGCAAUGGGCGAAAGCCUGAUGCAGCCAUGCCGCGUGUAUGAAGAAGGCCUGCGGGUUUUAAAGUACUUUCAGCGAGGAGGCGUUACUCGCAGAAGAAGCACCGGCUAACUCCGUGCCAGCAGCCGCGGUAAUUC
rnacentral:rRNA from 1 species